CCUUGCCGGCGACCGGCGCACGGGUGAGUAACACGUAUGCAACCUGCCCUCUUCAGGGGGACAACCUUCCGAAAGGGAGGCUAAUCCCGCGUAUAUCGGUUUCGGGCAUCCGAGAUCGAGGAAAGAUUCAUCGGAAGAGGAUGGGCAUGCGGCGCAUUAGCUAGACGGCGGGGUAACGGCCCACCGUGGCGACGAUGCGUAGGGGUUCUGAGAGGAAGGUCCCCCACACUGGUACUGAGACACGGACCAGACUCCUACGGGAGGCAGCAG
rnacentral:rRNA from 1 species